rnacentral:rRNA from 1 species
CCUACGGGCGGCUGCAGUGGGGAAUAUUGGGCAAUGGGCGCAAGCCUGACCCAGCAACGCCGCGUGAAGGAAGAAGGCUUUCGGGUUGUAAACUUCUUUUAUUGAGGACGAAACACAUGACGGUACUCAAUGAAUACGUCACGGCUAACUACGUGCCCGCAGCCGCGGUAAUACGUAGGUGGCAAGCGUUAUCCGGAUUUACUGGGUGUAAAGGGCGUGUAGGCGGGACUGCAAGUCAGAUGUGAAAACCAUGGGCUCAACCCAUGGCCUGCAUUUGAAACUGUUGAUCUUGAGUACUGGAGAGGCAGAUGGAAUUCCUAGUGUAGCGGUGAAAUGCGUAGAUAUUAGGAGGAACACCAGUGGCGAAGGCGGUCUGCUGGACAGCAACUGACGGUGAGGCGCGAAAGCGUGGGGAGCAAACAGGAUUAGAUACCCGAGUAGUC